CCGGGGCCCUUUAUGCUCCGUACUAUUUCAGAGAUACGGAACAUAAUGGCCCCUGGGA
rnacentral:pre_miRNA from 1 species